rnacentral:rRNA from 1 species
UAGGGAAGUCUUCCACAAUGGACGCAAGUCUGAUGGAGCAACGCCGCGUGAGUGAAGAAGGGUUUCGGCUCGUAAAGCUCUGUUGUUAAAGAAGAACGUGGGUAAGAGUAACUGUUUACCCAGUGACGGUAUUUAACCAGAAAGCCACGGCUAACUACGUGCCAG